rnacentral:rRNA from 1 species
UUGAUUACGUCCCUGCCCUUUGUACACACCGCCCGUCGCUGCCCGGGACUGAGCCAUUUCGAGAAACUUGGGGACCGCUGAUUUGCAGUCUUUCGGGCCUGCUUAUUGGUGGGAACCAAUUUAAUCGCAGUGGCUUGAACCGGGCAAAAGUCGUAACAAGGUAGCUGUAGGUGAACCUGCUGCUGGAUCAUU